rnacentral:rRNA from 1 species
UACAGAGGGUGCAAGCGUUAAUCGGAAUUACUGGGCGUAAAGCGUGCGCAGGCGGUUCGCUAAGACCGAUGUGAAAUCCCCGGGCUUAACCUGGGAACUGCAUUGGUGACUGGCGGGCUAGAGUAUGGCAGAGGGGGGGUAGAAUUCCACGUGUAGCAGUGAAAUGCGUAGAGAUGUGGAGGAAUACCGAUGGCGAAGGCAGCCCCCUGGGCCAAUACUGACGCUCAUGCACGAAAGCGUGGGGAGCAAACAGG